UAGUUUAGUAGUUAUAUAGGGUUUCCUAUUCCCUCCUAUUUUCCACUAUCAAGGUUUUGUAAUUGAUAUGUAUAUCUAAUACUAGGUUUUUCCUAGGUAUUUUCCCUGACUCCCACUCCCAUCUCCCUCAGCGACUCCCAGACAGUCCAUUAUAGAUUCUCCCCUAUAAUUUUCCUCUCUGCAGAGCCUCUUAGUUUGGCUUUUUUUAAUGGGUUGAUGCUGUAC